ACAGCAUGAACACAAGGAUGCUUUCUGAGUUCCUAGGGCUACUGCUGCUCUGGUUUUCAGGUGUGAGUUGUAAUAUCCAGAUGACACAAUCUCCACUAACUGUGUCUGCAUCUCUUGGGGACAGAGUCACCAUCACUUGCCAUGCCAGUCAGAACAUUAAUAAUUGGUUAGUCUGGUACCAGCAGAAACCAGGGAAUUCUCCUGUACUAUUAAUCUAUAAGACAUCCAACCUGCAAACAGGAAUCCCAUCAAGAUUCAGUGGCAGUGGCUCUGGGACCGAUUAUACUCUCACUAUCAACAACCUGCAACCUGAAGAUGUUGCCACUUACUUCUGUAUGCAGCAUCAGAGCUGUUGCCACAGUGAUACAAGUCAUAACAUAAACCUCUCAAUGGUGCAGCAAGUUAAGACUGAGCUAGUACUAGCUGCUCCCCCUAGUGCCUGCUCCUGA